UACGGGGGGGGCAAGCGUUGUUCGGAAUUACUGGGCGUAAAGGGCGCGUAGGCGGCCUGCUAAGUCGGAUGUGAAAUCCCUCGGCUCAACCGAGGAACUGCAUCCGAUACUGGCGGGCUUGAAUCCGGGAGAGGGGUGUGGAAUUCCAGGUGUAGCGGUGAAAUGCGUAGAGAUCCGGAGGAACACCGACGGCGUAGGCAGCGCCCUGGACGACACCUGACGCUGAGGCACGAAAGCUGGGGGAGCGAACAGG
rnacentral:rRNA from 1 species